UGCCAAGAUACGGUUCAGGUUUUCUCAAUGCAGUAAACUAGGGUGAAUUACAAGAAUGGCCUGUAGAUGUGCGUGGUCUUUGACCCACUUACUCCAUGGGCAGAACUUUCGAAUUCAGACUUCGACUUGAAGGUUUUCCAUGGGGAAGCGGGGUCAAGACCACCCAUUAUCAAGGUCAUUGGUGUAAUUUACUGUGUAAGAAAGGAAUAGGGAGAUCACCG
rnacentral:misc_RNA from 1 species